CAGUCGCCGCGGGAAUACGUAGGGUGCGAGCGUUAAUCGGAAUUACUGGGCGUAAAGCGUGCGCAGGCGGUUGUGUAAGACAGGUGUGAAAUCCCCGGGCUUAACCUGGGAACUGCGCUUGUGACUGCACAGCUAGAGUAUGGCAGAGGGGGGUGGAAUUCCACGUGUAGCAGUGAAAUGCGUAGAGAUGUGGAGGAACACCGAUGGCGGAGGCAGCCCCCUGGGCCAAUACUGACGCUCAUGCACGAAAGCGUGGGGAGCAAACAGGAUUAGAUACCCCGGUAGUCCCUGUCUCUUAUAC
rnacentral:rRNA from 1 species